rnacentral:tRNA from 1 species
CGGGACGUAGUUCAGUUGGUAGAAUGCACGGUUCGGGAUCGUGAGGUCGGCGGUUCAAAUCCGCCCGUCCCGA